rnacentral:rRNA from 1 species
UACGAAGGGGGCUAGCGUUGCUCGGAAUCACUGGGCGUAAAGGGUGCGUAGGCGGGUUUUUAAGUCAGGGGUGAAAUCCUGGAGCUCAACUCCAGAACUGCCUUUGAUACUGAAGAUCUUGAGUCCGGGAGAGGUGAGUGGAACUGCGAGUGUAGAGGUGAAAUUCGUAGAUAUUCGCAAGAACACCAGUGGCGAAGGCGACUCACUGGCCCGGUACUGACGCUGAGGCACGAAAGCGUGGGGAGCAAACAGG